rnacentral:sRNA from 1 species
GGAAGUAAAAGUCGUAACAAGGUUUCCGUAGGUGAACCUGCGGAAGGAUCAUUACCGAGUGAGGGCCCUCUGGGUCCAACCUCCCACCCGUGUUUAUUUUACCUUGUUGCUUCGGCGGGCCCGCCUUAACUGGCCGCCGGGGGGCUUACGCCCCCGGGCCCGCGCCCGCCGAAGACACCCCCGAACUCUGUCUGAAGAUUGUAGUCUGAGUGAAAAUAUAAAUUAUUUAAAACUUUCAACAACGGAUCUCUUGGUUCCGGCAUCGAUGAAGAACGCAGCGAAAUGCGAUACGUAAUGUGAAUUGCAAAUUCAGUGAAUCAUCGAGUCUUUGAACGCACAUUGCGCCCCCUGGUAUUCCGGGGGGCAUGCCUGUCCGAGCGUCAUUUCUGCCCUCAAGCACGGCUUGUGUGUUGGGCCCCGUCCUCCGAUCCCGGGGGACGGGCCCGAAAGGCAGCGGCGGCACCGCGUCCGGUCCUCGAGCGUAUGGGGCUUUGUCACCCGCUCUGUAGGCCCGGCCGGCGCUUGCCGAUCAACCCAAAUUUUUAUCCAGGUUGACCUCGGAUCAGGUAGGGAUACCCGCUGAACUUAAGCAUAUCAAUAAGCGGAGGA